rnacentral:rRNA from 1 species
UACGUAGGGCGCAAGCGUUGUCCGGAUUCACUGGGUGUAAAGGGUGCGCAGGCGGGAGUGCAAGUCAGAGGUGAAAUCUCACGGCUCAACCGUGAAACUGCCUUUGAUACUGCAUUUUCUUGAGUUAGGGAGAGGUUGAUGGAAUUCCAGGUGUAGCGGUGAAAUGCGUAGAUAUCUGGAGGAACACCGGUGGCGAAGGCGGCAUCCUGACCGAGAUUGACGCUGAGGCGCGAAAGCGUGGGGAGCAACAGGAUUAGAAACCCGGUGAGUCCCAGAACCAACGUACUCG